GGGCUACGGUUACCAUCAAUCAGCAUCCGAGAGAGGAGAGGAAGAAGAAGAAAAAGAAAAAUAUGGAGGAGAGGCUGGUGUUGCGCACAACGAUGCGCAUGAGAAGAAGACGACCUAUUGGCAUCUCGACCAGUGUUUUGUUGUUCUAUGGCUCCCUUGGACACGAUUCCACCAGAUUUGUGUCGGAUCUAAGGGCGCGAAGCACUAUACAGUGAAUUUCAGCCAAUAUGUAGCGGUGAUCAAUGGCGAACAACAAUGACGCAUGGAAAUCUAAUGGAGGUGUGUGUGAAGGCGCACAAACUUCCAUUGGUUACGCACAGUGAGUCCUAGGAACUCGGUU
rnacentral:lncRNA from 1 species